GACUCUCGGCAACGGAUAUCUCGGCUCUCGCAUCGAUGAAGAACGUAGCGAAAUGCGAUACUUGGUGUGAAUUGCAGAAUCCCGUGAACCAUCGAGUCUUUGAACGCAAGUUGCGCCGAAGCCGUUAGGCCGAGGCACGUCUGCCCUGGGCGUCA
rnacentral:rRNA from 1 species